UACAGAGGUCUCAACCGUUGUUCGGAUUCAUUGGGCGUAAAGGGUGCGUAGGCGGUCGUGCAAGUCGGAUGUGAAAUCUCAGGGCUCAACCCUGAAACUGCAUUCGAUACUGCGUGGCUAGAGUCCGGAAGAGGAGAGUGGAAUUCCUGGUGUAGCGGUGAAAUGCGCAGAUAUCAGGAGGAACACCAAUGGCGAAGGCAGCUCGCUGGGACGUGACUGACGCUGAGACGCGAAAGCGUGGGGAGCAAACAGG
rnacentral:rRNA from 1 species